GACAAAGCAACAGAGCAAUUCCAGCGUUAUGGACGUGACAUUUGAGGUCAAAACUUGAAAUAUAAAUUCUCAUAGAAUGUAUUCAUUAUCAAUAUAUUGAACCAUCUCUUUAUAUUUUCUUAAAACCCUAAUCAUAGAAUUCAGGCAUCAGAAAAAUAUCAGUCUGUACACGUGUUUUAUAUUUUAGAAGAGGAAAAUAAAUAUGCGUUACGGACGUGACAAAAAAAAUAUUCAGAUUUUGGGUGACAACAUACUUUGAAGAAAUUCUGCGAAUUAAAAUGCACAACCCAAAAGAAAUAAUACCAACUGAAAGGAUAAGGGUUGGCUCUCUAUAGAACAUAAAUUAUUUAUUUUUAUUUAUUUUUUGUUUUUGCAUUUAUGAGGAAAAAGCAUCGUUACGGACGUGACAGAUCUGAAAUCGGCUCUUGCCUGACUGUGGAAAAUCAGAUAAAAUGCUUUAAAAACUUUAACAGAGACCUAUUUGUCGGUCUCUGCUGGAUAUUUAAACCAACAAACUUUUACCUUUGAGACAUCAGUACGGUAAGGAUCCACAAUUAAUCAAAUUAACACUGAAAUCACUGUGUUAUAGAUUAGCCUAUGUUCAUGCGGAUCUCUCGUGCUGUUAAAUGCGUGUACAUGUUCAAAACUCAAUUCGGACAUGAUACUGCUUGCUAAUGUGAUGUUUACUUUAGACCCCGGAAAAUAUAAAAUCAGCAGCUAUUAAAUAUCAUAUCAUUAAGUUCCGGAGAUCGCCGGUUUCCUCUCAGUCCACGGUUAGAUGAAUUGAGACAUUGUCCGAUUGUAAGUGUGUAGGCCUGUGUCUAUAUAGGACAAACCGUGUGGAGAAUGGUAUGCAAAACACAAACGUGUGUCACAAUGAUCGCAAUAUUAUGUUUUGUGUCAAAAUGAUCGUACUGUUUAUACCCAUUUUGCGUGACUGAAUGCGCAAUCUUGAGUAAAAAUAGCUGCGUUGUGUUUGUCAAAAUAAUUGCAAUAUUAGCCAAUGCAUUGUAAGAAUAACCGACAUGUUAUACAUUGUCUCAAAAUCAAAAUUAAUACUUCAUUUCAUUUAUGCAUGAUUUACCGAGUUUAAUAAUGGCUGGCAUUUGGAUGUUAUGAAGAUUAAGAAGAAGCAGUAAAACUAUGUGUGAAAGUCCAAAAAAAGGUCAACAUUUCUAACUGAAUAUUAUUGACCAUUCUGUAGCAACAAGAGCUCUGUAAAACAGAUGUCCAGGAAAGACUGCCUCUUCAAAGUGAUACCUCCCUCUGUUGUCUACUUUUGGGUUGAAAGUAUUAAUCACUUGGUCAGGUGUCACCCAAGCUUUAUCUUCCAUCACAGCUGCUGACUGGAGCUCAGAGGACUGGUGUCCAGAACUUUCAGCAGAUGUGAUUUCUGGAAGCAGAAAUGUAUGGACACCUGACUUUUCUGCCUCGGAGUAGAUUUUAUGUCGCACUUCUCCCCAUGAGACUGGCUCAAUGUGAUGGACUGACUGAGUGCCCGAAACAGAAUCUACAAAUGAAGCAGCAUCCGUCACAAGGAUAGCCUGUCUGCUGAGGACAUCAGUGUUAACAGCACGUUUCACUGUUGCUCCCACACCAUCCACUGCACCUUUGCCGUGGCUUGUGGCAAAGAAGUGCCACUGUACUCUUAAAGAUGGAAACAGCUCCUUGAAUGUGGUUGACAGGAAACACCAGAUGAACUUGUUUUUAAACUGAGAGGCAGCUCCAUCACUAAAUAUGUGCAUCACUCUCAUUGCAGGAUGUUUCUCUUGAAUUGUCUUCCACAAUCUUUGUGAGAAAUGCUGCCACAGACCUCUUGUCGUGUUCCAGGCUGUCACUCACUAUGGCAUAUGACUCUGGAUCUCCAUCAGACCACAGAACAGAGGGAAACACUGUGACCUGCCUUUGAUGCCAGUGUGCUGACUGGAUCUGAUCCUGGUAAGCAGCGGUGUAGUUUUCGGCAAAAUCUACCUGCAGCACCACAGUUUCCUUGUCUGAUUUUGCUUGUAAUUUUUUGGCCUGGAAAAAUGUGCUUUGUUUUCUCUUAACAAAACAGUGAUGCAGAAAUUUUGUAGCAGCUGCCUUGAGAAAACCAAGUACAUCACCUAGUGUGCCACUCCUCUGGACCUUAUUCGGCAGCCCUCCUGUUGCUUGCCAUGUGUACCAGGUCACAUUCAUUUGUUUUUCUUCCUCUGGGAUAUUACUGAGGACAUGCAUUUCCAGCAGCUUGCCAUUCAUGCAUUCAGCACACUGACCUAACAUACAGUGGGGACUGUCUGGAUUGCAGGCCACAGCUUCAACAAAAUUCUGUGUGCUCUGGAAUGCUUGCCUUGGAAUAAUAUGUUGUACACAAUCCAGGGCCAACUUAAUGUUUUCAUGGUAACGGCAAAGACAAACAUUUCUUGGAGUAUCUGAACACCGGAGUACAUGAGAUGGUCGAAGCUCAGCAAAUUUAGAUUUCCCAAUUAUAGACUCUGGAUGUUCAAUCUUGAAGCAGCGGUAGGCCUCUAGAAUAGACAUUGUUAAAUGCCGUUUCUGGAUUUUCUUUUUUACUCGUCCCUCUCUGACUGUGACCACAUCCCUCAUCCCUGGUGCUUGCCUUGAGAUGUCAUCUCUCUCAUAGAACUCCCUGACUUUAUCAUAUGUAGUAGUUGUGCUGGUCAUACUAUUCAUUUUCUUUUUUUCUGGAAGAAGGCACAGUGAUGUUGCGAUUUUUUUUUUUUUUUUUUUAUUACUGUACAUUUUUUUCGAGGGCUGCUAGGUAAAGCUUGAAGUGCUCUUUUUACUGCCUUGCUCAGAGACUGUCUUGAUUUAUAUGGUGAAUUCUGUGGGGACUCCUGGAAAGCAGGAAUCUGUGACUUCUUCAGCAAACACCUUUUUUUCUGUCUUAGUCUUGCAAGCUUCCUGACUCUUUCUGCUUCUUGUUUUGAUUGUGUUUCUUUCUUUCUUUGUCUUUCUGCUUUUUUUUCUGUUCCUUUCCUGUUCCUUGAAAUUUUCAUUAUCCCUCUUCCUCUCUCGGAAUGCCCUUUGUCUUUCAGCAUUAUUUUUUGCCAUUGCGUACUGUAGGAUGAGAUGUAUAUGUAAAUUAAUUUUAUUGUUGUUUCUUUGUUAUUUGUAUUUGUUAUUACUGGUUAUUUUUGUUGUUGUAUUGUUAAUUACUGUUAUUAACAUUGAUAUUUUGUAAUAAAAAAAUAGUUAAAACUGACUAAGCUGAUUCUUUCAUGGCCAUAGUGUGUUCGGUGUAACCAGCAUUUAUUCAGACACCUUGUAGUUUAAAAAUGGUAAAAUAUGACGAGAAUUUUUUCUGUGU